GAGGAUUUUCAGAUAAGCUAUUCCGACCUAACAAAACUUUGACGUUUACAAUUCUGGUUUACUUUAACACGGUGCUUAUUUUCUAUCUAUGCAAUGAGUGGGUUUCCAACAGUGUUGUGAUGAUAUGAUAAUAGCGGUUUGUUUUUAAACCACAA